GUACCUGAUAGAAAAUACCAUGUGACUGCCCUCCGAAGGCAGAGGUCACAGGUUCGAAUCCUGUCGGGUGCGCCA
rnacentral:tRNA from 1 species